rnacentral:misc_RNA from 1 species
AAGUCGUAACAAGGUAACCGUAGGUGAACCUGCGGUUGGAUCAUUAGUGGUUUUUACGCAGCGCUGUUGUAGUGUUUCUGGGGGGUGUUGGUGUUUGCUUAGGGUGUUGUUGGUUGUUUGUCUGUUUUUGUGCAUUGCCUUGUGCGAUGUCUUGUGCGAUGUCUUGUGCGGUGCCUUGUGCGGUGCCUGGCAGUACAAACGAUCGACGGCAACACUCGGACCAGACCCAAGCCCUUGCAGACAAUAGACGUCUUUGCUUGCUUUGAUGAAACCAAAUCAAAAACAACUUUUGACAACGGAUCUCUUGGCUCUC